rnacentral:misc_RNA from 1 species
CCAAGUACAACCCGUCUCCGGACGGGCUGCUACCAACCCUUCGUUGUCCGACCGCGUUGCCUCCGGGGCGACCCUGACCUUCGGGUUUUGGGGGACCCCGGGUGGACACCUAAACUCUGCGUAACUUUGUAGUCUGAGUAAUAGAUUAAAUCAAUCA